AAUCCAGACUCCUACGGGAGGCAGCAGUGGGGAAUAUUGCACAAUGGGGGAAACCCUGAUGCAGCGACGCCGCGUGAAGGAUGAAGUAUUUCGGUAUGUAAACUUCUAUCAGCAGGGAAGAAAAUGACGGUACCUGAGUAAGAAGCCCCGACUAACUACGUGCCAGCAGCCGCGGUAAUACGUAUGGGGCAAGCGUUAUCCGGAUUUACUGGGUGUAAAGGGAGCGCAGGCGGCCUGGCAAGCCUGAUGUGAAAUACCGGGGCCCAACCCCGGGGCUGCAUUGGGAACUGCCAGGCUGGAGUGCCGGAGAGGCAGGCGGAAUUCCUAGUGUAGCGGUGAAAUGCGUAGAUAUUAGGAGGAACACCAGUGGCGAAGGCGGCCUGCUGGACGGUGACUGACGCUGAGGCUCGAAAGCGUGGGGAGCAAACAGGAUUAGAUACCCGCGUA
rnacentral:rRNA from 1 species